GACUAACGCUGGCGGCGUGCUUAACACAUGUAAGCCUAACGGAAAGGCUCUGCUUUUGUGGGGUUCUCGAGUGGCGAACGGGUGAGUAACACGUGAGUAACCCGGUCUUGACUUUGGGAUAACCUCUGGUAACUGAGGCUAAUUCCGCAUACGGGCACCUGCUGCAUGGUGGGGGUUACCAAGUCUCGGCGGUCGUUGUUGUACUGGCUGCUUAUCAGUUUUUUGGUGGGGUAGUGGCUGACCAACGCUUGGACGGGUAGCCGGCCAGAGAGAGUCACCGGCCACAUUGAGACUGAGAUAAGGCCCAGACUCCUACGGGAGGCAUCAGUGGGGAAUAUUGCACAAUGGGCGGAAGCCUGAUGCAGCAACGCCGCGUGCGAGAUAACGGCCGUCGGGUUGUAAACCGCUUUCGCCUGUGACGAAGCGUGAGUGACGGUAAUGGGUAAAGAAGCACCGGCUAACUACGUG
rnacentral:rRNA from 1 species